rnacentral:rRNA from 1 species
UACGUAGGGUGCAAGCGUUGUCCGGAAUUAUUGGGCGUAAAGAGCUCGUAGGCGGUCUGUCGCGUCGGCUGUGAAAACUCGGGGCUCAACCCCGAGCCUGCAGUCGAUACGGCCGGGCUAGAGUGCUGUAGGGGAGAGUGGAAUUCCUGGUGUAGCGGUGAAAUGCGCAGAUAUCAGGAGGAACACCGGUGGCGAAGGCGGGUCUCUGGGCAGCAACUGACGCUGAGGAGCGAAAGCGUGGGGAGCGAACAGG